AAUCAACGCUGGCGGCAUGCCUAACACAUGCAAGUCGAACGAGAAAGUGGAGCAAUCCAUGAGUACAGUGGCGCACGGGUGAGUAACACGUGACUAACCUACCUUCGAGUGGGGAAUAACCCCCGGGAAACCGGGGCUAAGACCGCAUAAUAUCGAGAGAUCAAAUGCGAAAGCAGCUUGAAGAGGGGGUCGCGGUUGAUUAGCUAGUUGGUGAGGUAAUGGCUCACCAAGGCGAUGAUCAAUAGCCGGCCUGAGAGGGCGCACGGCCAC
rnacentral:rRNA from 1 species